rnacentral:rRNA from 1 species
UAGAGUUUGAUCAUGGCUCAGGACGAACGCUGGCGGCGUGCUUAACACAUGCAAGUCGAGCGGAAAGGCCCUUCGGGGUACUCGAGCGGCGAACGGGUGAGUAACACGUGAGCAACCUGCCCCAGGCUUUGGGAUAACCCCGGGAAACCGGGGCUAAUACCGAAUAUGACCUCUGACCGCAUGGUUGGUGGUGGAAAGUUUUUCGGCUUGGGAUGGGCUCGCGGCCUAUCAGCUUGUUGGUGGGGUGAUGGCCUACCAAGGCGACGACGGGUAGCCGGCCUGAGAGGGCGACCGGCCACACUGGGACUGAGACACGGCCCAGACUCCUACGGGAGGCAGCAGUGGGGAAUAUUGCACAAUGGGCGGAAGCCUGAUGCAGCGACGCCGCGUGAGGGAUGACGGCCUUCGGGUUGUAAACCU